UAUAUUCAAAUUUUCCGAGUCUAAACUUCUAAGGUUUAAACUAUGAAGUUAGGCCCAUGGGUAUAAAGAGAAAUUUUUAUGCCUCCCACUCUUGGAAAGGAAGGUUUGAGUAUGUUAA
rnacentral:ncRNA from 2 species